rnacentral:rRNA from 1 species
GGACGAACGCUGGCGGUAUGCUUAACACAUGCAAGUCGAACGAGAAGGAAGAGCUUGCUCUUCCUGAAAGUGGCGAACGGGUGAGUAACGCGUGGGUAACCUACCCUUUGGAAAGGAAUAGCCUCGGGAAACUGGGAGUAAUGCCUUAUAAGAUACGUUUGUCGCAUGGCAUUUGUAUUAAACGCUCCGGCGCCAUAGGAUGGACCCGCGUCCCAUUAGCUAGUUGGUGAGAUAACAGCUCACCAAGGCCACGAUGGGUAACCGGUCUGAGAGGGCGAACGGUCACACUGGAACUGAGACACGGUCCAGACUCCUACGGGAGGCAGCAGUGGGGAAUAUUGCGCAAUGGGGGCAACCCUGACGCAGCAAUACCGCGUGAGUGAAGAAGGUUUUCGGAUCGUAAAGCUCUGUUAUUGGAGAAGAAAAAAAGACGGUACCCAAGAAGAAAGUUCCGGCUAACUACGUGCCAGCAGCCGCGGUAAUACGUAGGGAACAAGCGUUGUCCGGAUUUACUGGGCGUAAAGGGCACGCAGGCGGUUUUUUAAGUCAGAUGUGAAAGGCCACAGCUCAACUGUGGACAUGCAUUUGAAACUGAAAGACUUGAGUAUUGGAGAGGCAAGUGGAAUUCCUAGUGUAGCGGUGAAAUGCGUAGAUAUUAGGAGGAACACCGGUGGCGAAGGCGGCUUGCUGGACAAAUACUGACGCUGA